rnacentral:piRNA from 1 species
CUGGAUGGUACCGGAUGGAACAGCUUCCA